ensembl:lincRNA
GGCGGGCGGGCGGGCGGCCUUGGCCCCCAGGCAGACCAAGGUGAGCGCUGGGUGGACGUGGGCGGAGGGCACCUUCUGUUGAUCUUCCCCUGCCAUCCAAGUUGGCCAACACAGGUUCUGCAGGCACAAGAGAAUCAGUGCAGAAUUAUCGCUAAGCCUCCAGAUCAUCAUCCUCAUUAGAGGUAACCGGAGCCCAGCUGGCCUGAACGCAGCUCUAAACCCCACUAAGACGGGACGCACUCGGGAAUAUGCUGAAUGUAAUUUAAUCAUCCUGGAAACAAGUCUGCAUUCUUUUUUGUCUUUUUUGUCUUUGGCCCAAAGGAGAGGUAAUUCCCGAUGCAGUCAGAGAAGUGGAACCAUGCCGACUCGAGAGAAAGCUUCGUGUGUUUCAGGAACACUGGAAAUCCUUUCAUCUGGGGAACACGCUUUUGGAAGAACUUUUUGUAUAUUUUGUAUAUAACUUAUAUGCGCAAAUGUGCAUGUGGACACACUUCAUAAAUUGUUAUAAAACAAACCUAUAGAAAUGCCACCCAAAGAGGCUAAAUGACUAUAAUAUUGAUCACAUCCUGACCUUGAUAUUUACAACAUCCUCCUUUAACAUGUUUUGAGGCCUGCAUGCACCACCCUUAUAUUGGGCAGAAAUCUUCAAAAACCAGCAAGCUCACUUCCAGCAGCCACUUUUCUCGAAUUGUCCCUCUCAUGUAGCUGUGUCCCCCAUGGCCCUGAGCACCUGGGGAAGAGUAAACAGCAGGUGCUUCAUAAAGACGGAUGCUAUUCUCCAGGCCUGUGUCUGGCCUGCCAGGUCACUUGGGCAACCCUGGGGAAAUCCACUGGUGCCUCCAAGCAACAGCCCAAGACGGAGGAGGUGCCCUGGCUUCAUCUGCCGCCUGCUCUUCCCUGCAACAUCCCACAAGCAAGCGGAGACCCUGGCUGGGAAUGCACACGCUGAGAUUGGGUUUCAGCAAGCCUAAGUGAAAUAGACACACUCCCUCUAGAACAACAUUUCGAUAUGAAAAUUGCAUUAUUGCCGUCAACAUCAGGUUACCUGAGGAACAAGCCACUUGGAAAACAAUUCCACAAAGAGCAGAAUGACACAUACAUUGCCUC